UGUGCGCUUAUUUUUGAUCCGUCAAAAAACAUGGCCGCCGUUACUUAAAAUAGAACAUAGGGGUCAAAUGCAGUUUUUGGCUUAUAUCUCCAAAACGAAAGCAUUUAGAGCAAAUCUGACAUGGGGUAAAAAUGUUCAUUAGGUCAAGAUCUAUCAGCCCUGAAAUUUUCAGAUGAAUCAAACAAACCAUUGUUGGGUUGCUG
rnacentral:lncRNA from 1 species